GACGGCGCUCGCAAAACUGGAUUUGAAACUGUCGGCCCAAGAGGAGUAGAAACCAUUUUACAUUUAAAUAAUAAUAAUAAAAAAAAAGAUUAAAAAAAAAAGCGUACGGAAAAGAACUGGAGCAAGGGACAACAGCAUCCACUUGUCCACCGAGGCUGUUGACGUAGUUAGGCAGCCUGAUGGGGCAACGCCCACUUAUCCUAAAGGAUUUCCACCGUUUGAACGUGGAACAAUCACCGAGGAUGAUGUCAUCAAUGGCAAUGUCACUUUUGUAUCCGUUGCCAAGCGACCCUUCAAAAACAAUCUAAAAAUAGAUUUGAUGACGACAAAUGAGGCACUAUUAGAUGUUGUGCGUUAAGUUGAUAUUUUCUACUUACACAAGGCAAAGUCUAGAGGAGCCUGUGUUUAUCAAAGGGGAGAUGAGUCUUGCCUUUUGUCCAGGACUUCUACUAGACGCCUCCACGUAGAC